rnacentral:rRNA from 1 species
GGACCCGCACAAGCGGUGGAGCAUGUGGUUUAAUUCGAUGCAACGCGAAGAACCUUACCUGGUCUUGACAUCCUGAGAACUUUCUAGAGAUAGAUUGGUGCCUUCGGGAACUCAGUGACAGGUGCUGCACGGCUGUCGUCAGCUCGUGUUGUGAAAUGUUGGGUUAAGUCCCGCAACGAGCGCAACCCCUAUUGAUAGUUACCAUCAUUAAGUUGGGUACUCUAUUGAGACUGCCGCUGACAAGGCGGAGGAAGGUGGGGACGACGUCAAGUCAUCAUGGCCCUUACGACCAGGGCUACACACGUGCUACAAUGGAUAUUACAGGGGCUGCGAUACCGCGAGUGGAGCGAA